rnacentral:rRNA from 1 species
CASGGGGAGUUUGYACACCCGAAAGUCGGUGAGGUAACCUUUAUGGAGCCAGCCGCCGAAGGUGGGRCAGAUGAUUGGGGUGAAGUCGUAACAAGGUAGCCGUAUCGGAAGGUGCGGCUGGAUCACCUCCUUUCUAAGGAUAUA